ACCAGACUCCUACGGGAGGCAGCAGUGGGGAAUAUUGCGCAAUGGGCGAAAGCCUGACGCAGCGACGCCGCGUGAGGGAUGAAGGUCUUCGGAUCGUAAACCUCUGUCAGCAGGGAAGAACGGUCACUGUGCUAAUCAGCAGUGAAUUGACGGUACCUGACUAAGAAGCCCCGGCUAACUACGUGCCAGCAGCCGCGGUAAUACGUAGGGGGCAAGCGUUAUCCGGAUUUACUGGGUGUAAAGGGAGCGUAGACGGUAUGGCAAGUCUGAAGUGAAAGCCCAGGGCUUAACCCUGGGACUGCUUUGGAAACUGUUAGACUAGAGUGCUGGAGAGGUAAGUGGAAUUCCUAGUGUAGCGGUGAAAUGCGUAGAUAUUAGGAGGAACACCAGUGGCGAAGGCGGCUUACUGGACAGUAACUGACGUUGAGGCUCGAAAGCGUGGGGAGCAAACAGGAUUAGAUACCCGCGUAGG
rnacentral:rRNA from 1 species